AGGACAAAGUCAUGGAUAAUAGUCUUGACUUUCAGGUCCUUUUAUGUGGAAAGAUUUAGGAUUGCUAGCUGCACAAGCUCAGGAAAGGCUUUGAAAAUUUGGCAAAUCUCCGAGGGGACUACUCUUUUUCCUGAGGUUUUAUAGGUCUGGUUCGACUUCAUCCACGAUCAAUUUUUUUGGCGAAGGUAUUCGCGUAUAUGUUGGUGUCGGCAAACUCAGCGAGGACGGAGCUAGCACGAUCUUUGAAGGAUAGGGACACCAUGUGUACGGAUAGCAAUGCAUUUUGCAUACAACUGGGUUCUUUAAGAACUAAGUUGCAGGAAAGGCUUAGAAAAUUUGGCAAAUCUCCGAGGGGACUACUCUUUUUCCUGAGGUUUUAUAGGUCUGGUUCGACUUCAUCCACGAUCAAGUGCGUUUACCAUUUCCAUUAUUUUAUACUACUAUGAUUUCUUUUCCUUUUAUUUAAGAUCUUGGUGUAGAUAUGCCAUCAGUUUUUUGGCGAAGGUAUUCGCGUAUAUGUUGGUGUCGAUAAACUCAGCGAGGACGGAGCUGGCACGAUCUUUGAAGGAUAGGGACACCAUGUGUACGGAUAGCAAUGCAUUUUGCA